rnacentral:lncRNA from 7 species
AUUCCGUGCUGGUGGCUGAUGGGGAAGGAGCGGCGCGGCUCCGCGGUGGGGCUGGGGCGCGUUGUGCUCCCCCUCUCACCGCUCUCCCCCCGCCGCUCUGCCGGAUCCUGGGGGAGGCGCCGAGGGGCGGGGAGCGGCGCUUACAGCCGGAGCCGCCCGGGGAAGGGGCGCGCAGCCAGGAGGGAGGGAAAGGCGGGCUGCUGAAACGAGGUGCCAAAAAUGUCCUGGCAGGGCUCGCUGUCUGCGCCGGGUCCGGCCUGUCCGUGCGGUGCUGGAGGCCGGCAGCACGCUGAGAUGUGAACAAAGGUGACCCCUAGGUUGAAGUUUCUUCAAGGAUGUCUUGGUCUGGAAUGUGGUUUAACAGCACAGGUGAAGAUCUUUGGAAAAGUAGAGCAUCUGUGUCAUUGAUUGGAAAUGCUGUAUACUGACAAACCUAUGGAAUCCUGUCUUGUCAGAGUCCUUAACAGAGCUGAGCAGCAGUGGUGGUCUGAGCUUGGCUCACCGUGGUGGGAAGUAGUCAUGAGGACCUGUGGUUAGUCUCCUGUUGGAAGAUGAAGAUACUCUGUUCUUAUCUGUACCUCCUGGUUUUUAAUGUUCGAGUACAAAGAAGUUGAUGUUGUGAGUAAUCACUGCAGUUAAUGUUUGAUUUUUGAAUGUGGUUCACAUAUUUAUCCAAUUCCUUUGGUGCUGAAAGUCAUCUGUUGUUAAUUAUGUGACCAACAAAUUGUAAGUACGGGUUUGCACAUAGAAGCUGAUCAUGUGUCAGGAUCUUUGGCCCAAAUCUGAAAUGCUAAAGGCACUCACUUCUGGAAGAUGCUGAAACUUUAUUGAAUUAUGUUUUUACGAGCUUCUUUAUGAUUAUCUUUUAGGUAUUUUCUGAUCUAAUGUUGAAAAGCUAUUUAGUGUAACUGCAGUUAAGUGAUUUCAUCUCAAAUGUUUAUUUUGCUAUGCACAUCUCUUCCCCCUUUUCUUUUUUUAAUGUGAAGUGCUACAGCUUUACUUUAAGUUUAUAUGGAAAGCAACUAUACUUUAAGAAGUAUGCAGGAGGAUUUCCCAUGUCUGUAAACAUACUGGGUAGUUGAGCAUUUGCUGAAAUGAGCUGCCAAUUGUUUUCUGUCUUAUAAUACUCCUUUGUAGAUCUGCUGGUAUCUGGCUUGUCCCUGCUGCAUCUAUACAAUGCGUUCCUUCAUGUUUUGUGUAACAUCUUCCUCAGUCAUUUCUGUGUAUGUAAAUACAGAAACUGGAAAGAGAAAACUCUGUUUGUGAAUUGUCCCUCUUCCUGCCCUCACUUCUCCACCCCUCCAGCGUAGCUGGAAGGUUGGUCAUGAGCAGGAAGUGAGAACAAUAUUGAUUACUGGUAUCCAGGAAUUCUGAGGGGGAAGGGGGCAAAAAUGAGCACUGGAAAACAAUCUACGUGUUCUGACAACACAUUUAUGCUUUGAGACCCUUAGAAUGGGAGUGCUGUCGGUAGAAAAAGUAAAUGAAGACCUCGAGGUGUUGGUUGCAGAAGUAUCGAAGCAACUGCCAUCGUAAGAGGCUUGGGUGUUGGUUUUGUGCCUUCUGUUACUUGUUCAGUUCUUUAAAUCACUCCUAAUAGUGGUUAGUGAGGUGCAAGCAGAGUGAAGCCUAAACCCAGAAGGGUUUUUGUGUAUUUACCUUUUUUUUUUAGCUUGUCAAACUCAAAGCAGAGUUACAUUAAAACAAAGUAUCUU